rnacentral:rRNA from 1 species
GGGUUGUGAGGUUAAGCGACUAAGCGUACACGGUGGAUGCCCUGGCAGUCAGAGGCGAUGAAGGACGUGCUAAUCUGCGAAAAGCGCCGGCGAGGUGAUAUGAACCUUUGACCCGGCGAUGUCCGAAUGGGGAAACCCAGUGCAAUCCGUUGCACUAUCGUUAACUGAAUACAUAGGUUAACGAGGCGAACCGGGGGAACUGAAACAUCUAAGUACCCCGAGGAAAAGAAAUCAACCGAGAUUCCCCCAGUAGCGGCGAGCGAACGGGGAGCAGCCCGGAGUCUGAAUCAGCUUGUGUGUUAGUGGAACGGUCUGGAAAGUCCGACGGUACAGGGUGAUAGUCCCGUACACGAAAGCACACAUGCUGUGAACUCGAAGAGUAGGGCGGGACACGUGGUAUCCUGUCUGAAUAUGGGGGGACCAUCCUCCAAGGCUAAAUACUCCUGACUGACCGAUAGUGAACCAGUACCGUGAGGGAAAGGCGAAAAGAACCCCGGCGAGGGGAGUGAAAAAGAACCUGAAACCGUGUACGUACAAGCAGUGGGAGCCUCUUUAUGGGGUGACUGCGUACCUUUUGUAUAAUGGGUCAGCGACUUAUAUUCUGUAGCAAGGUUAACCGUAUAGGGGAGCCGAAGGGAAACCGAGUCUUAACUGGGCGUUAAGUUGCAGGGUAUAGACCCGAAACCCGGUGAUCUAGCCAUGGGCAGGUUGAAGGUUGGGUAACACUAACUGGAGGACCGAACCGACUAAUGUUGAAAAAUUAGCGGAUGACCUGUGGCUGGGGGUGAAAGGCCAAUCAAACCGGGAGAUAGCUGGUUCUCCCCGAAAGCUAUUUAGGUAGCGCCUCGUGAACUCAUCUUCGGGGGUAGAGCACUGUUUCGGCUAGGGGGCCAUCCCGGCUUACCAACCCGAUGCAAACUACGAAUACCGAAGAAUGUUAUCACGGGAGACACACGGCGGGUGCUAACGUCCGUCGUGAAGAGGGAAACAACCCAGACCGCCAGCUAAGGUCCCAAAGUCAUGGUUAAGUGGGAAACGAUGUGGGAAGGCACAGACAGCCAGGAUGUUGGCUUAGAAGCAGCCAUCAUUUAAAGAAAGCGUAAUAGCUCACUGGUCGAGUCGGCCUGCGCGGAAGAUGUAACGGGGCUAAACCAUGCACCGAAGCUGCGGCAGCGACACUAUGUGUUGUUGGGUAGGGGAGCGUUCUGUAAGCCGUUGAAGGUGUCCUGUGAGGGGUGCUGGAGGUAUCAGAAGUGCGAAUGCUGACAUAAGUAACGAUAAAGCGGGUGAAAAGCCCGCUCGCCGGAAGACCAAGGGUUCCUGUCCAACGUUAAUCGGGGCAGGGUGAGUCGACCCCUAAGGCGAGGCCGAAAGGCGUAGUCGAUGGGAAACAGGUUAAUAUUCCUGUACUUGGUGUUACUGCGAAGGGGGGACGGAGAAGGCUAUGUCAGCCGGGCGACGGUUGUCCCGGUUUAAGCAUGUAGGCGGAGGUUCCAGGUAAAUCCGGUACCUUAUUAACGCUGAGGUGUGAUGACGAGGCACUACGGUGCUGAAGUGAUAAAUGCCCUGCUUCCAGGAAAAGCCUCUAAGCAUCAGGUAACACGAAAUCGUACCCCAAACCGACACAGGUGGUCAGGUAGAGAAUACCAAGGCGCUUGAGAGAACUCGGGUGAAGGAACUAGGCAAAAUGGUGCCGUAACUUCGGGAGAAGGCACGCUGAUGUGUAGGUGAAGUCCCUGCGGACGGAGCUGAAAUCAGUCGAAGAUACCAGCUGGCUGCAACUGUUUAUUAAAAACACAGCACUGUGCAAACACGAAAGUGGACGUAUACGGUGUGACGCCUGCCCGGUGCCGGAAGGUUAAUUGAUGGGGUUAGCGGCAACGCGAAGCUCUUGAUCGAAGCCCCGGUAAACGGCGGCCGUAACUAUAACGGUCCUAAGGUAGCGAAAUUCCUUGUCGGGUAAGUUCCGACCUGCACGAAUGGCGUAAUGAUGGCCAGGCUGUCUCCACCCGAGACUCAGUGAAAUUGAACUCGCUGUGAAGAUGCAGUGUACCCGCGGCAAGACGGAAAGACCCCGUGAACCUUUACUAUAGCUUGACACUGAACACUGGUCCUUGAUGUGUAGGAUAGGUGGGAGGCUUUGAAGCGUGGACGCCAGUCUGCGUGGAGCCAACCUUGAAAUACCACCCUUUAAUGGCUGGUGUUCUAACGUAGACCCGUAAUCCGGGUUGCGGACAGUGUCUGGUGGGUAGUUUGACUGGGGCGGUCUCCUCCCAAAGAGUAACGGAGGAGCACGAAGGUUGGCUAAUCCUGGUCGGACAUCAGGAGGUUAGUGCAAUGGCAUAAGCCAGCUUGACUGCGAGCGUGACGGCGCGAGCAGGUGCGAAAGCAGGUCAUAGUGAUCCGGUGGUUCUGAAUGGAAGGGCCAUCGCUCAACGGAUAAAAGGUACUCCGGGGAUAACAGGCUGAUACCGCCCAAGAGUUCAUAUCGACGGCGGUGUUUGGCACCUCGAUGUCGGCUCAUCACAUCCUGGGGCUGAAGUAGGUCCCAAGGGUAUGGCUGUUCGCCAUUUAAAGUGGUACGCGAGCUGGGUUUAGAACGUCGUGAGACAGUUCGGUCCCUAUCUGCCGUGGGCGCUGGAGAAUUGAGGGGGGCUGCUCCUAGUACGAGAGGACCGGAGUGGACGCAUCACUGGUGUUCGGGUUGUCAUGCCAAUGGCACUGCCCGGUAGCUAAAUGCGGAAGAGAUAAGUGCUGAAAGCAUCUAAGCACGAAACUUGCCCCGAGAUGAGUUCUCCCUGAGACCUUGAGUCUCCUGAAGGAACGUUGAAGACGACGACGUUGAUAGGUCGGGUGUGUAAGCGCAGCGAUGCGUUGAGCUAACCGAUACUAAUGAACCGUGAGGCUUAACCUUACAACGCCGAAGCUGUU